rnacentral:rRNA from 1 species
CUACGGAGGGUGCAAGCGUUAUCCGGAAUCAUUGGGUUUAAAGGGUCCGUAGGCGGACUAUUAAGUCAGAGGUGAAAUCCCACAGCUCAACUGUGGAACUGCCUUUGAUACUGGUAGUCUUGAGUUAUAUGGAAGUAGAUAGAAUGUGUAGUGUAGCGGUGAAAUGCAUAGAUAUUACACAGAAUACCGAUUGCGAAGGCAGUCUACUACGUAUAUACUGACGCUAAGGGACGAAAGCGUGGGGAGCGAACAGGAUUAGAAACCCUAGUAGUCC